rnacentral:rRNA from 1 species
UGGGGAAUUUUGGACAAUGGGGGCAACCCUGAUCCAGCAAUGCCGCGUGUGUGAAGAAGGCCUUCGGGUUGUAAAGCACUUUUGUCCGGAAAGAAAACGCCGUGGUUAAUACCCGUGGCGGAUGACGGUACCGGAAGAAUAAGCACCGGCUAACUACGUGCCAGCAGCCGCGGUAAUACGUAGGGUGCAAGCGUUAAUCGGAAUUACUGGGCGUAAAGCGUGCGCAGGCGGUCCGCUAAGACAGAUGUGAAAUCCCCGGGCUUAACCUGGGAACUGCAUUUGUGACUGGCGGGCUAGAGUAUGGCAGAGGGGGGUAGAAUUCCACGUGUAGCAGUGAAAUGCGUAGAGAUGUGGAGGAAUACCGAUGGCGAAGGCAGCCCCCUGGGCCAAUACUGACGCUCAUGCACGAAAGCGUGGGGAGCAAACAGGAUUCAGAUACCCUGGUAGUCCACGCCCUAACGAUG